rnacentral:RNase_P_RNA from 1 species
AAGGUGGGGCGGUUUGUCGCGCUGCGAGGGUUUCGGCCCAAGGGUGAGGAAAGUCCGGACAGGAUAGGGCGCCCUGCUGGGGAAAGCUCAGAUGGGAGUAAUCUUAUGGAUGCCGUAACAGAAAACUACCGCCUUGAAAGCCAUCAGGUUCUCGGCCUUAGGGCCAUAACUGACUGGCUUCGGGCAAGGGUGAAAACGUGAGGCAAGAGCUCACGACAUGUGGCGGUGACGUCGCAUGGGUACGGCACCAGGGCCUGCAAAACCAAAUAUACUGGCAGACGAGGGCUGCCCGCCCGAUGCCAGGGGGUAGGUCGCGAAGAUAAAUGACAGACUAAAACAGAAACCGGCUUACGGCCCCGCCUUUUUC